UACGGAGGAUGCGAGCGUUAUCCGGAUUUAUUGGGUUUAAAGGGUGCGUAGGCGGGCUUUUAAGUCAGCGGUAAAAAUUCGGGGCUCAACCCCGUCCGGCCGUUGAAACUGGGGGCCUUGAGUGGGCGAGAAGAAGGCGGAAUGCGUGGUGUAGCGGUGAAAUGCAUAGAUAUCACGCAGAACCCCGAUUGCGAAGGCAGCCUUCCGGCGCCCUACUGACGCUGAGGCACGAAGGUGCGGGGAUCGAACAGG
rnacentral:rRNA from 1 species